UUUCAUUGUUUAUUUUUGUUUUUUUUUUUUUUUUUUUGUGUUGCUUUUGCGGGGAAAAGGGGGAAAGACACUGUACACGAGAAAAGGGAGACGAAGGGUUGGAGAUAGGAAUAGGACUUUUUUUUUUUU
rnacentral:ribozyme from 1 species